rnacentral:lncRNA from 1 species
CCAUUCUCUUAGGAGGAUUUCCGGCUGACUGAUGGCAGUGAUAAGAACGCUGCUUCUGGAAUGUUGCAGCCACCUGAAAUGGACUGCCCGUGCACUGUGUGGUUUUGGUUGGGGCAAUUAAAAGAAUAUUGACCUGGAACUUUAUCAAGCCUUCAGAACAGCAAUAGAAAACUAAUACACAAGAUGAAAAGAAAUAAGGAAAUAUGACCACCAACUCCCAACAAGCAAGUCCCCAUUUUGUGCACUGUCAUGUGCACUGCGGCGCUGACCACCAUGGCUGCAUCACCCAGGCCCCCUUGCCCUCUGGGAUAUCAGACGUCAAAAUUUCUGCAAAUCUGCAUACAUCAAAAUGAGCUACAAACUAAAGAAGCGUUAUUUCCCCCAUAAAGAUCUGUUAUUUGUUAAUUCAAAUACUUUCAGUUACCCAAGGAUAACAGCCGUCCAGAAGCAAAUGAGCCUCCUUCUGCCAUAUCCUGUCCUCAGAAAGUCGACAGUAGCAUAAUGCUGCAUCAUGAUGCCUACAUCAUUCACUUCUCUUCACCUCCUCACAUAGGCAUUGUAUCAUUGCACAUCAUCAGAGAAGAAAGGGCCAAGAAAGUGGGACAUAAAAGAAGACCAUUCUCCAAAGACUACUGUAAUCAGAACAUCCACCCUCUCUGUAGGCCCAGGAACGAGGAGGCCGGCUGUCCUCAGGCUGCUUUGCCCCAGGACUCACAGUCGGAUCAUCUAGACGUUGAGGUCCGAGCCCUGAGCACCUGCCUGCCUGGAAUGAGCUGGGUCUUCCAGUGGGCCAGAGAACCCUGCAGUGUCAGCGCCGAGGCCCUCUAACUGAUGAGAAGACUUGUACAAGCUUAGACAGUAAGCAGAAUGAGGGACUGUGUCCCCAGUCACCACGCCUCUCUUCCCAGUACCUCAGACCCCCUCAGACACUAACUGGUGUCCAAAAGAGAGGCCGAAAGGCAUCAGCAAAUCUGUUGAAAACUAGUUCUUUUGUUCUUCACGAAUUCAAUUUUGAUUUCAGAAAGGAAAAUCCUCAGCACUGAUAUUGAAAACCAAACAGAGAAAAUAAUAUAUACGGCUACUAGAUCUGACUGAAAACUCGCUCAAAAAGCCAAUCCGCUCUCAUUUUUUGGCUUCUUCUAUCUGGUUGAUCCAUAAUCUACCUGAUUCAUCUCUACUCUAGUUUGAAAGUGGAGAGGAAACCAAUACUGUAGAAAGAGGAAAAAUCCAGUCAUCCAGUUUUGAAAAAGAAAAGCCGGCAGCUCGGGCUCUCUCAGUGACAAUCGUUUGCGCUAACCUUCUGUAACCCUAUGGCGUAAAGGACUCCUCUUUAAAUGUUCACCCAGUUAUGUCUGGGUGCUCUCCAACUUGUAAAAAGCUAGCAAAUUAUUAUUCACAAUUAAAGUUUAUUGAAGAAUCACUUUCCAAUUAAGGUUAUAAAUUAUUAAGCAACAGUGCAUGGCCGCAGUGUUUUACAAGCCAUUAGUAGCACUUUAUCUGCCUCCUGAGAUACACUGAUGAAGGUCAAGUGACCCUGGGGAUCCUCAGCGCACAUUAAUCACCUGCUUUGAUAAAUGGCCUUGAGGUCUUCCUGGCAUUCAGAGCUGGAACAUUUUUAACAAAGAGAUAUUAAUGGGUUUUAAAUUGUUUUCCAUUGACUAUACAUCCUUUAUUGUGAAAUAAGAAAUUGUUUAAAAAAUGGAAAACAGUAUAAUGCAGUUUUUAAGAAAAGCACAUAUAUGGAAGCCAAGAUACUUGUAUCCUAUGUUGUAUCUGCCCUUCUCACGGAUAUGUGAUCUAUGUCAAGUCAUUUUCCUUCUCUGGGUUUCAGACUCUUCAGCCAGUCCCUGAGAAGGCUAGAGCAGGUGACCUGGGCCUCACCGAGCGGGAAUCUCCCACUUGCUCCUCAUAAUUCACUGUUUCCCUUUGCUAACAUGCUCCAGGUUCUGGAAGUCUUUGGAAUCUAUCCCUCACAAAUGUCAAGGAUCCACAGAUGCAAGUACAUCUUACUCUCCUAACAACCGGCUGGAAGUUGGCUAAGAAGAAGAUGGCCAGGCCAAUGCCCAGAUUCCCAAGUUGGACUGUUGGAAGAAUAAAGACGCUAUUACCAAGAAGAGAGAAAUUUGUAGAAGGAAAUGAAAAUUUUAGUUUUAGACAUCUUGAUUUUAAGGUCUGUUCUGACAGCUAGAUAAAUGAUAGGCAACAGGAAGAUGAGUCUUGAGAGAAAGACUGAAAAAAUGAGCUAUAAAUUUGGAUGUCUUCAGGAUAAAGGCAAAGGCUGAAGUUGGGGUGAAGGGUGUAGAAAAUGGCUCUUCUGAAGUCAGUCCAUGCAAACCCAGCUCUACAUGAACCUUAUGUGCAUCAAGGGUCAGCACUCACAGGCCACCUCACAGUUCAAGAUGUCAACUUUGCGAUCACUGUUCUUCUUCGUGUUCCACAUUUUUUCCUGAGGACACUUGAACUGCAUUUUCCCACACUAAAGUGACUACUCAAUUAAAAAGAAAAAUUAGACAAAGAAUGCUUUAGUUGCCCAUUUUAGCCACCUGAAGGCUAAGUCUGGAAGAGGUCCCUCUGCGAAAGUGCCACAGUCUGCAUCUUCCAUUUAGUUAAGUGUCCACAUCUCCAUUUAGCCGCCAUUACAUGAGCCUUCAUUUUGUUCCAAAGUUGAGCAGAAUUUGAUUUAACUGCCAAAAUACACAAACCAGUUUCUGAAAGCAAAAUGUUAAUUCGUCAAGUCAUGUCCUGUUUCCUUUUCUUUAUGGGAAGGUUUUUCAUUACAAAUUCAAUUUCUUUAAUAGAUAUAGGGCUGUUUAGAUUUUCUAUUCUGUUUUCUUUCUAUUAAGGGUGGCAGUACAAUGACACCAACUUGAGGAAAUGCUUAUAUUUUUAUAAUAUCUAACAAUAAAGGAGAAAAGGGCUCUCCUUACAAGAAUCUUUUGUUUAAAUCUUCCCUUUCUGUUGAAAAUUAAGCCACCAUGAAUGUGAAGCCAAAAAUGUUGGUCUUUGCUUCUAACACAACACAGAUGGACAAUGUGCCACUCUGAGGCCAUGCAGGGGAGCAGCAUUUCAGCACUAGAAAGGUCACAUCAGAAUUAAGUUGGUUUCAGUAAAGUGAAACCAAAUGAAAACUUUGCAUCCACCCCUAAACUCAAUUUUUUAAGUUGUUCCAUAAAGAUACAGUCAGGCGCUGAAUUGCUGCAGCGUGACCUACCACAGGCUCUGCUAUUCACAAUCUGGAAAGACGCUCUGGUUCACUGCCCAGAAAAUUUCAUCACUGAGCACCUUCAGUUCUCUCAUUAGACACUGCCUCACCCUCCGGAAAGUGCUCUGUGAAUGUUGAUGGAACAAAUUAAUGAAUUAAAUUACUAUUAUGCUUUUCCUUCUUGCUGAUUCUCCCAAAAAGGUGUAAAGAAGCUUAGUUUCAAAGUUUGAGUAAUUAAGAAGAGCUCUUUGGUCUGUAUCUAAUUUAGCAUAAAACACAUCAGAUGUGAACGACGCUUCACACCUGUGUAAGGGUUGGGACGCGCCAACUUUUGCUGUAAGAAAUUGUCGUGG